CUACAGGAUUCCCCUAGUAACGGCGAGUGAAGCGGGAUGAGCUCAAGCUUAAAAUCUCCGUGCAAGUUUUGCACGGCGAAUUGUAGUCUAUAGAGGCGUGGUCAGUGAGGGCGCUCGGGGCAAGUUCCUUGGAAGAGGACAGCAUGGAGGGUGAUACUCCCGUUCAUCCCUGAGUGGCUUUUGCGUACGACCCGUGUUCUUUGAGUCGCGUUGUUUGGGAAUGCAGCGCAAAGUAGGUGGUAAAUUCCAUCUAAAGCUAAAUAUUGGUGCGAGACCGAUAGCGAACAAGUACCGUGAGGGAAAGAUGAAAAGAACUUUGAAAAGAGAGUUAAAGAGUACCUGAAACUGCUGAAAGGGAACCGAAUCGUUUCCAGUGUCUAUAAUCCGUGGCAUAUUUCAUUGGCGAGUGUGUGCGUGCGUGUGCUGUGGCAGUGGCUUUUUUGGCUGCGCUCGGCGUGUGUGCUGUGUGUGCUUGUUGGUGCCCUGUGGUGCGGUGGGACGUCAAGGUCAGUUCGUAUGCUGCGGGAAAUGGCUGCCGAGGAGGUAGGGCUUACGCUCCGCGUUUGUCUGUUAUAUCUUGGUGGACGAGUAGUCGCGGUUGGGACUGAGGUGCCUACAACGUGCUUUUGAGUGUGUAUGGGUCUCCGUGUGCGCCGUGUGCGGAUAGCUUGCUAUGCGUGUGUGGUUGUGUGUGGAUUGAUGCGUACUGUAACUUGUCGCCGUUCGGGACGUUGACGAAAUGGAGCGAUCCGACCCGUCUUGAAACACGGACCAAGGAGUCUAACAUGUGUGCAAGUGUUAGGGUGUGGAAACCCCAGCGCGAAAUGAAAGUAAAGGGCAGCGCAAGCUGUCUGAGGUAGGAAACGUUGCGGGCUUCGGCCUGCGGCGUGGCACUAUCGACCGAUCAUGAGCCUUCGUGGUGAAAGAUUUGAGUUUGAGCACAUAUGUUGGUACCCGAAAGAUGGUGAACUAUGCCUGAGUAGGGUGAAGCCAGGGGAAACUCUGGUGGAAGCUCGUAGCGAUUCUGACGUGCAAAUCGAUCGUCAAACUUGGGUAUAGGGGCGAAAGACUAAUCGAACCAUCUAGUAGCUGGUUCCCUCCGAAAUUUCCCUCAGGAUAGCAGCAACUUAUUUACGAUAGUUUUAUGAGGUAAAGCGAAUGAUUAGAGGAUUCGGGGAAGAAACUUUCUCGACCUAUUCUCAAACUUUAAAUCUGUAAGACCUGCAGGUUUCUUAAUUGAACUUGUGGAUGUGAAUAUCAA
rnacentral:rRNA from 1 species